rnacentral:rRNA from 1 species
GGGGAAUCUUGCGCAAUGGGCGAAAGCCUGACGCAGCGACGCCGCGUGGGUGACGAAGGCCUUCGGGUUGUAAAGCCCUGUGGGGUAGAACGAACUGGCAUCGGGCUAAUAUCUCGGUGUCUUGACGGUACUGCCUUAGCAAGCAUCGGCUAACUCUGUGCCAGCAGCCGCGGUAAGACAGAGGAUGCGAACGUUGCUCGGAUUUACUGGGCGUAAAGCGCGUGUAGGCGGUCUCGUUAGUCGGGUGUGAAAGCCCCGGGCUCAACCCGGGAAGUGCACCCGAUACUGCGAGACUGGGGUACUGAAGAGGAGAGCGGAAUUCCCGGUGUAGAGGUGAAAUUCGUAGAUAUCGGGAGGAACACCAGUGGCGAAGGCGGCUCUCUGGGCAGAUACCGACGCUGAGACGCGAAAGCGUGGGGAGCAAAC